rnacentral:lncRNA from 1 species
UUAGUGAGUUUUCUAUUAAGCCACGUUGACUCUUCUAUAAAGCAAUAAAUAAAAGAUUCCACUAUUCACUGUAUUGAUUUGUUAGUAAAAUUUAAACUCUUGACUAAGGAAAUAAGAAACUAUUUCAUGUAAUCACUAAGCAACCCAACCUUGUCUUUUAUCCCUUUGGGGGGAUAUGCCUGUUAAAAGGUAUUUUUCUCUUGAAUUUCAUCUCUUCAUUUGAAUGGAAGUGAACUUACAAUUCAUUAAUGCUUCAGAUAUGUGACAGCAUCAUUUCCACUGAACAAUUUGCUCCAGGGCCUAUAUACCCUUUAUAAAUUAUGCAAUUUUUGUUCUAAG